CUACGGACUUAAAAAAUAAUUUGAGCUUUAGUAAAAAAAUUUAUUAAAUGCUAGCUUUCAGAUUCAGGGAAACUUAGGUUGAAAAAAAAUAUAAGCAAUCCUGAGCCAAAUCUUUUUUUAUCUUAAAUAAGAUAGGUGCAGAGACUCAAUGGAAGCUAUCCUAACGCAUAAUUUUUUAAAAAUUAUAUAAUUAAUUUUAAUUUUUUAUCCAUUAAUAAAAAUUAAUUUAAACUAAAUUGUUAGUUUUUAAUUAAAUUAAAAAGUGAGGAUAAAGAUAGAGUCCAAUUUUACAUGUUAGUUUUAG
rnacentral:ncRNA from 1 species